GAUGAACGCUGGCGGCGUGCCUAAUACAUGCAAGUCGAGCGAACGGACGAGAAGCUUGCUUCUCUGAUGUUAGCGGCGGACGGGUGAGUAACCCGUGGAUAACCUACCUAUAAGACUGGGAUAACUUCGGGAAACCGGAGCUAAUACCGGAUAAUAUUUUGAACCGCAUGGUUCAAAAGUGUAAGACGGUCUUGCUGUCACUUAUAGCUGGAUCCGCGUUGCAUUAUCUAGUUGGGAAGUUAACGGCUUACCAAGGCAACGAUGCAUAGCCGACCUGAGAGGGUGAUCAGCCACACUGGAACUGAGACACGGUCCAGACUCCUACGGGAGGCAGCAGUAGGGAAUCUUCCGCAAUGGGCGAAAGCCUGACGGAGCAACGCCGCGUGAGUGAUGAAGGUCUUCGGAUCGUAAAACUCUGUUAUUAGGGAAGAACAUAUGUGUAAGUAACUGUGCACAUCUUGACGGUACCUAAUCAGAAAGCCACGGCUAACUACGUG
rnacentral:rRNA from 1 species